rnacentral:rRNA from 1 species
UACGUAGGUGGCAAGCGUUGUCCGGAAUCAUUGGGCGUAAAGAGCGUGUAGGCGGCCCGGUAAGUCCGCUGUGAAAGUCCAGGGCUCAACCCUGGGAUGCCGGUGGAUACUGUCGGGCUCGAGUCCGGAAGAGGCGAGUGGAAUUCCUGGUGUAGCGGUGAAAUGCGCAGAUAUCAGGAGGAACACCAAUGGCGAAGGCAGCUCGCUGGGACGUGACUGACGCUGAGACGCGAAAGCGUGGGGAGCAAACAGG